rnacentral:tRNA from 1 species
GCUUCCAUAGCUCAGUCGGCAGAGCGCUUCCAUGGUAAGGAAGAGGUCAGGGGUUCAAGUCCCCUUGGAAGCUCCA